GGAGGGUGCAAGCGUUAAUCGGAAUUACUGGGCGUAAAGCGCACGCAGGCGGUUUGUUAAGUCAGAUGUGAAAUCCCCGGGCUCAACCUGGGAACUGCAUCUGAUACUGGCAAGCUUGAGUCUCGUAGAGGGGGGUAGAAUUCCAGGUGUAGCGGUGAAAUGCGUAGAGAUCUGGAGGAAUACCGGUGGCGAAGGCGGCCCCCUGGACGAAGACUGACGCUCAGGUGCGAAAGCGUGGGAGCAAACAGGAUUAGAUACCCUGGUAGUCCACGCCGUAAACGAUGUCGACUUGGAGGUUGUGCCCUUGAGGCGUGGCUUCCGGAGCUAACGCGUUAAGUCGACCGCCUGGGGAGUACGGCCGCAAAGGUUA
rnacentral:rRNA from 1 species